rnacentral:rRNA from 1 species
UACGUAGGGGGCAAGCGUUGUCCGGAAUCAUUGGGCGUAAAGAGCGUGUAGGCGGCCAGGUAGGUCCGUUGUGAAAACUCGAGGCUCAACCUCGAGACGUCGAUGGAAACCAUCUGGCUAGAGUCCGGAAGAGGAGAGUGGAAUUCCCGGUGUAGCGGUGAAAUGCGCAGAUAUCGGGAAGAACACCCGUGGCGAAGGCGGCUCUCUGGGACGGUACUGACGCUGAGACGCGAAAGCGUGGGGAGCGAACAGG